GCCAAUUCAAGUGCCAAAAUAUAUGCUUUUGUAAACAGCACUGAAAGGUCUUAGUUCAACUAGACAGCAGAGCAGUGGCCAUGGAAGUUGGAAUCUGCCAAGGAGUGUGUAACAAUUGACCUGCUGAAUGAACUAGCCAAGAAAACAGGCGGGGAUUAAGCUUUUUUACUUUUACUUGGC
rnacentral:ncRNA from 1 species